rnacentral:rRNA from 1 species
UACGGAGGGAGCUAGCGUUGUUCGGAAUUACUGGGCGUAAAGCGCGCGUAGGCGGCUUUGUAAGUUAGAGGUGAAAGCCCGGGGCUCAACCCCGGAACUGCCUUUAAAACUGCAUCGCUUGAAUCCAGGAGAGGUGAGUGGAAUUCCGAGUGUAGAGGUGAAAUUCGUAGAUAUUCGGAAGAACACCAGUGGCGAAGGCGGCUCACUGGCCCGAUACUGACGCUGAGGCACGAAAGCGUGGGGAGCAAACAGG